rnacentral:rRNA from 1 species
CCUACGGGAGGCUGCAGUGGGGAAUAUUGGACAAUGGGGGGAACCCUGAUCCAGCCAUGCCGCGUGUGUGAAGAAGGCCCUCGGGUUGUAAAGCACUUUCAGUGAGGAAGAACGCCUGGUGGUUAAUACCCAUCAGGAAAGACAUCACUCACAGAAGAAGCACCGGCUAACUCCGUGCCAGCAGCCGCGGUAAUACGGAGGGUGCGAGCGUUAAUCGGAAUUACUGGGCGUAAAGCGCGCGUAGGUGGCUUGAUAAGCCGGUUGUGAAAGCCCCGGGCUCAACCUGGGAACGGCAUCCGGAACUGUCAAGCUAGAGUGCAGGAGAGGAAGGUAGAAUUCCCGGUGUAGCGGUGAAAUGCGUAGAGAUCGGGAGGAAUACCAGUGGCGAAGGCGGCCUUCUGGACUGACACUGAUACUGAGGUGCGAAAGCGUGGGUAGCAAACAGGAUUAGAUACCCGAGUAGUC